rfam:Caenorhabditis brenneri strain PB2801 C_brenneri-6.0.1_Cont230.1, whole genome shotgun sequence.
AUCUCCUUGGGCCUCGCCGGCAAUGACAAUUAAUCGCAAUUGGACCAUCCGAACUCUAAGGGCUCCGAUUGCGUUAGUUGGCAUAGUCGGCGAGAGCCUGGAGCUUUC